UGAAGCUGGAGUUGCUAGUAAUCGCGAAUCAGAAUGUCGCGGUGAAUACGUUCCCGGGCCUUGUACACACCGCCCGUCACACCAUGAGAGCUGGUAACACCCGAAGUCCGUGAGGUAACCGUAAGGAACCAGCGGCCGAAGGUGGGAUUAGUGAUUGGGGUGAAGUCGUAACAAGGUAGCCGUAGGAGAACCUGCGGCUGGAUCACCUCCUUUCUAAGGA
rnacentral:rRNA from 1 species